CAAAUAUCUUAUAAGGGAGUCUGAGGUCACACAAAAUAUAGAGAGGGCCAUUUCUCAAAGAAUGCACAUUCUUUCAGAUCUUCCAACACGCCUUACAAAUCAGUUCCAAGCCUCAAAAAAAAGCAGUCUAGGCAUUUUUGCCAGUGGAGGAGUAGAUUCCUUUUCCUGCAGACAGCAACAUAGCUAACAUUGUUCCCUCCUUUAUGAAGACUUCCACUCCCUUGACCUUUAAAGCUGAUCUUCUUAAAGACAGUACACUGUUUCUUGGAUAAUUAUUACCUGUUCAGCUACAUGAUUACCCUGCUUGGCUCAUUGUUCUGGAUCGAAGACUUUCUCCUAAGAAGAAUAGGAACAGAGCAGUUGGACAUGGCCAGAGGUUCCUGUGACAUUCCUUCAGUUUUCAGUGUGAACUGCAGAGAAAAGACAGCAAUUUUGAUUUGUCUUGCAGAAUAGCCAGUGCCCCAGACCUGAAAUCACUACUACUUGGAGUACUACAGGUAGCUUUGAAAAUUUUAAAUAAUGUUCCAUGGAUACAUAGUUUCAGUUAUCCAAGAUGAGAAAGCUCUGGAGAUUGUUUGCACAACAAAAGGAGUAUACUUAGCACUACUGAACGUACAUUUGAAAAUGGUUAAGAAGGUAAGUUUUAGGUUAUGUUUUUUUCACCACAAUUUUAAAAAUUAAGAAAUAUUUUUUUUUCAAGCUAAAAUAACCAUCUCUGUGUUGUGGGAUGAACUUAGCUGUUAUGUUUUCUGCAACUCAGGUUGGGGGAAAGGGCACAUUCUGUGGGCUGUGGUGUUUGCACUGAUGAGUACAUGGUGGACCCUAAAGUUAUGACUGGCCUGACAUACGAACAACUUGGGUUAAUUACGUUAAGGGAAGAUUCAUCUGCCUCUUGUUAUAAAUCUCAGCUGUAUUGACUUACAACCAAACUUGAGUU
rnacentral:lncRNA from 1 species